CUGUUGCAAGAUAUUUGUUCCCAAAGCUCCUGUGAAGCCAGACGUAGAUUCUUUUAUGUCCGUGUGUUUCACUUUGGAAUGCCCUUCCUACUCGUUUGGCAGAAGAACCCAACCUUGGUGCUUUAAAAAGUGGACUCCAGGAUUUCCUGGGUGCUGCUGCUCUAUUUGACUACUGUUAAUUGGUUGCCAAUCUUGUCAUCUUAUUGCUUUGUACUUAGGAUCAUAGCAAACUUUCCAGUCUUUUCUUUGUUCAUAAACAAUGUUUCUGGCAGUGGUUUAUAAAGACUGGUGUGCUAGCCAUAUGGGGCACCCCCAGUGGGAGCCCAACCAGGCAAGAACUCCUCUCAACCAAAAUUGGCUGGGGGCCACUUGGUCUGGUGUUGAGUUUGUUGGUGCCCGGCCAUUCCCAGUGUGGCCGGGCACUGGCGGCUCACCUGGCACUGCCCUCAGGAAAGUGUUGAGGCUUCCUUUGAACUUGUCCACUGGGCAUUUCUUUACGUUUAAUCUCCCUGGGCAGUGCAUUGAAAAUUUUGGGUCCAUCAUGUCCCUGGACCCUUUGUUCACCAGCAGUAUUUCUUUAACAAACACAUAUUUACCUCAAGAAGUGUUAUCAAAGUCACACUGCCCGUAAUAUUUGGCCCAUGCUACACGUGUGUGGUAACAGUGCCUUAUAAGGCUUGCUGAAUAAACCACUAUAGUCCAUUGACUCUAACUUGAGCCCUGUGGCUUGGGCCGGGGAAACCUUCAUUCUUUACAGAUCUAGUGAUGACCUGCGCAUGGCGAUCUGUCUCACUGUUAGUCUGUACGUUAUCUAUUUAUAGAUUAUAUAAUAUAUACUCAUAAUACGACUGCAUGGUGUCAUGAAUGGCUUGGGAUUAGAGGGAAAGACAACGACUGAGUUGCGCCCAAGGGCUCAAGUUAAAAUCGAUAGACUAUAGUGUUAAUCUCUGCUUGAAAUUAUCAUCAAUUUACUCUGUUUUGAGGUAUACAUGUCAAAAUAUCAACAUCAACGGCACAACACAAAGAUCUGUCAGUCACACAGGAACAAGACUCAAACCUUGAUGAACAUGGAGGCAACAGAGAAAUGAAGAGGAGGAGGAAGAAAAGAGAGGCAGGAGGAGGAGGAGGAGAGUUUAACCCAGGGCUGUGGAGUCAGCCCCCCUGCCCCUCCCCCUCUACUGCAUUUGUUUUUUUGGGGGGUGCUUCCUGUGGCGCCGGUAGACUUGCUUGACCAUUUUUUGACAGCAACAGCAGCACAAGCCACAACAGCCCUUGCUUUGGCAAAUGGCACCAUGUGGAUACAAAGCCACUGGUUUGUUUAUCUUCUGGAUAUGAGCAACUGACCUUGGUCGUUUGUGACGUACACCAAGAAAAGUUGGUGUUGCCGGUUGCGUCUUCCACCAGGGCGGUUGGAGGAAAAAGGUCAAGUGUGAUUCCAGCUUGAGACCUUAUUCCCAUUGUUUUCUGCUCUGAGCACUCUCGUCUUGCGGCGAACAGUGGGAACCCACACUCACGUCUUCCACUCAUACAAACUUGAUGCUUGUACGCCAAGUCACUGCUCAUACACCAAGGCAUUUUUAGUGAUUUUCUUUUGCUCGUAAAUUGAAACGCUUGUAAACUAAGGCACUUGUAAAUCGAGGUAUUACUGUAUAUAAAAAAUCUUUCAAACAAGUAAUUUGUGACGGACAAGAAAAACAUCACCACAAAGAACCUCAUCAAGCACACAGGUGUCUUUCACUGUGAUACGGCGCACUUGUAAAAUAAUACCAAUUUCUGUAGUCAUGAAUAAUCACUGCACCCUUCACUGCACAUAGAGGCCUUGUUGGAGGCUGUGUCUUAUGCCUGUGCAGUAAAAGCAUAACUGUCAAACUAACAGGAACACUGGUGCCUCCUUUCUGCAGGUUCUCUUGGUAAGCAUAAUUGCCAAACUAACAGGAACACUUUCAAACUCUCAAACUUUCCGCAGGUUCUCCUGGCCACCACCGGCAGGGACGUUGCCAUGUAGCUGUGGUCAAGGAGGCCCACGGGUCGUGCCGGAACUAGGUGCAGCUGUGCCUGGAGGGUUGCCAUGAUGGCACCACCUUUCACCGUGUCGUGCUGGGCUUCAUCCACCCGACAGGAACGGACAGCAGCGGAGAAGCCGUCAAGGGGAAGCCCUUCAAGGAAGAGUUCCACACACAGCUGUGGCUCGGCCUGCUGGCAAUGGCCCCAGCGACAAUCGUUCUUUUUGGCGCUGGGCCAGACUCGAGAGCUGCAGGACAAACACACACACACACCGUCACGGCCAACACUCUCCACACGCCUGGAGGAGGGAGGCAUUGGUGAGGUGCCGGCCAGCAGCGGACAGUGACAGCGCCAGGAGUUCAGGAACCAAGACCUUACCAGCAGCAGCAAAGGCAGGAUGACCCAGGACUCACUUUCCCCAGGACCAAGCAUAGUAGUAGUAGUAGUAGUAGUAGUAGUUAGUAGUAGUAGUGGUAGUAGGUGGAGUAGUGUGCAUGAUUCCUACCAUCCAAAACUUCAUCCUCUCUUCACAUUUUCCUUCCCCUUCAUGUUUUCCCUUGUGUCUCCUCUCUGUCAUCAUCCUCCUGCCCUUCAUCCUCCCUUCAUGUCUUCCCUUGUGUCUCCUCUCUGUCAUCAUCCUCCUGCCCUUCAUCCUCCCUUCAUGUCUUCCCUUGUGUCUCCUCUCUGUCAUCAUCCUCCUGCCCUUCAUCCUCCCUUCAUGUCUUCCCUUGUGUCUCCUCUCUGUCA